AUAUGCAGCCACAUUGAGCUAAAUGCACCUGAUCUUGGAUGCUAAGCAGCCUUGAACUUAGCUAGCUCUUGGAUGGGACACCACUUUGCAAACCUAGGCACUGCAGAUC
rnacentral:rRNA from 1 species